CCUACGGAGGCUGCAGUGGGGAAUAUUGGACAAUGGGCGAAAGCCUGAUCCAGCCAUGCCGCGUGUGUGAAGAAGGCCUUCGGGUUGUAAAGCACUUUCAGUGGGGAAGAAAGCCUUGGGGCUAAUACCCUCGAGGAAGGACAUCACCCACAGAAGAAGCACCGGCUAACUCCGUGCCAGCAGCCGCGGUAAUACGGAGGGUGCGAGCGUUAAUCGGAAUUACUGGGCGUAAAGCGCGCGUAGGCGGUCUGAUAAGCCGGUUGUGAAAGCCCCGGGCUCAACCUGGGAACGGCAUCCGGAACUGUCAGGCUAGGGUGCAGGAGAGGAAGGUAGAAUUCCCGGUGUAGCGGUGAAAUGCGUAGAGAUCGGGAGGAAUACCAGUGGCGAAGGCGGCCUUCUGGACUGACACUGACGCUGAGGUGCGAAAGCGUGGGUAGCAAACAGGAUUAGAUACCCCUGUAGUC
rnacentral:rRNA from 1 species